CGCGUAGGCGGGAUGGCAAGUCAGAUGUGAAAUCUCAGGGCUCAACCCUGAAACUGCAUUUGAAACUGUCGUUCUUGAGUACUGGAGAGGUUGACGGAAUUCCUAGUGUAGCGGUGAAAUGCGUAGAUAUUAGGAGGAACACCAGUGGCGAAGGCGGUCAACUGGACAGAAACUGACGCUGAGGCGCGAAAGCGUGGGGAGCAAACAG
rnacentral:rRNA from 1 species